rnacentral:misc_RNA from 1 species
GAUGAAGAACGUAGCGAAAUGCGAUAAGUAAUGUGAAUUGCAGAAUUCAGUGAAUCAUCGAAUCUUUGAACGCACAUUGCGCCCGCUAGUAUUCUGGCGGGCAUGCCUGUUCGAGCGUCAUUUCAACCAUCAAGCCCUGUUUAGGCUUGUGUUGGGGCCCUGCGGUUGCCGCAGCCCCCUAAAUGCAGUGGCGGGCUCGCUAGUCACUCCGAGCGUAGUAAUACAUCUCGCUCAGGGCGUGCUGCGGGUUCCGGCCGUUAAAAAGCCUUAUUUACCCAAGGUUGACCUCGGAUCAGGUAGGAAGACCCGCUGAACUUAAGCAUAUCAAUAAGCGGAGGA